AAAUGCAAAAUGAGCAGAGCCGACAUUUUAAAUAAUAACUGUCGUUAUUGUUAAAUAACUGUCGAGCCAACGAUACGUCAUGUGUGACCGGCUACCGCUGUUAUUUCGUAAUGCGCCGAUUUUAUUGGUCAUCGAAUCACGCGUGGACGUUAGAAACACGCCUACGAUGACAUGGCACGCGAGUGCAACGCGGAAUGCCGCGUGUCGAUAUAGGAUUUAUCACUUGAACUUUAAUCCGAUGGUUAGCGCCGGAAGCCGACACUUCAGAAAGGGGCGAGGCGGUAAUUGAAAAUGUUGCAAUCGAACCUGCUGAAAAUGCAAACGGUCUAAGUCCGCCGAGAAACACAGUUCCGCAAAUGAUGUUAGACCUAAUUCUUCUGAUUCUUUUCUACUUAUACUUGAAAAUGCGGAUUACGGCAGACGAAAAAGCAACGAAAAGCAACUUCGCGAAUCGCUAAGAGGUCAAUCGGCGCAUUAAAUACCUAUUGACCCUCGUAAGUUCGUUUAUUGGUUUAAUAGCUUGCAUAGACAGAAGAACAAGUUUGAGCAUGUCUUUACGCUUGUCAAGACUUUAAGACCGUUGGAAAAAUAUUUCACGAGUCACGCUUUCG
rnacentral:lncRNA from 1 species